AGAAUACCAGUAAAACUUGCUCACAAUUGUCUACUUCUGGGAAGGAAGGGAAUAUUCUCGUUUUUUUUUUUUUUUUUUUUUUUUUUUUUUUUUUGGGUGAUUAAGGAGGCAAGGUUUAUCCAGGUGGACCAUGCAAUGGUUAAAAGAUGACAGUGGCACUGUGGAGAGGAACAGAAAUCAGCAGGACAAAGAUCAAGAUAGUUGUCAGCACUUCAAUGCAUACAUUCGAAGGGGAUGGGCCACCACUUAUACAGAUGAAUGAAUUACCAGUAAGUGGCUCACAUACGUGUGUAAACUCUCGAUGAAGGAACAGACCACUGCCAGGAACAUACCAGGACACUCCAGGGUCGCUACCCACCACUGAUCCAUCUCCCAAGGAGACAAUAAGCACAGGUGAAUUUUGCUUUGUUCACUGUUGUAUUUGUCAGACAUG
rnacentral:lncRNA from 1 species